GUUUCAAAUGCCUUAACAGGUUAGGCCAUUGUUGAUAUCUAAUCAGUGAUCUACAGAUUCAAAAAUAGACAAUAUUACGGUCCCCCAAACAGAUAUAUGGUUAUUUCCAGUCAGUUAACUUUACGGCGUUUUCCUAUAAAGUAUGUGUAUUCUUCAAGUAUAUUUCCCAUCAUUAAGCUGAUUCCAUUUGGAAAUGUGUAUGGAAUAAGG
rnacentral:misc_RNA from 1 species